AGAGUACCGAGUAACUUCCAUCUGCAGAAGUAUGUAAGGAAACAUAGAGCGGCAAGGCAUCUAUGAUGACCCAUCCUAUGUGAUACCUUCAGCACCAGAACUUUCAUGCUGUGAUCACAGUCUGGCACAAGUCUGCAUCUGGACCUCUCUAGAGCAAGUGGCAACAAUCCUCCUGGUUUUACUGGAACAGGAUUAAAAAGAUACAAGGAGAGUACGUCUGCAAGGGAGCAAGGAAACAAUUGCAGUUCCUCAUUAGAAAUCACUUCUGCCUAAUUCCUGCAACCAUGUUGAAAAAGCUGAAAUUCAAGAUGCUCAAUCUCAAACACAAGCCCUGUUGAUCAGAUGCUCCAGUCACAAGACAUAUAUCCAGCAGGGUGGGGAGCAAGUGCUGCCUGAUGAGAUACCUGCUACGUACUGUUCCCUCAGCAACACCAAAUUCCUGUAUUCUCCAUACGUCUUUCACAUCCCAUCCUCAGUCAUGCCUUGGUGAUUUGGAGAGGUGAUUAUGUUGCAUUCCUGUUAUUCUAAGUAAGAGAAUCAAUACUAAUUCACUUAGCUUUACUUUAUAAGUGGCUAAAGAGACAUAACAUCAAGUUCCAAAGAGGGAGAACACUUCCUGGCUGUGUAAGAAUAUUGGUAAGAAUUGAGUCAAGGUAACAACCCAGCAAUAUCUGUUUGCUAAAGUAAAUUAAUUAUUAAUCAUGAAGUUGCUUAUUUUAAAAUGUUUGACGAUUUUAAAAUAAAUGAAAAAUACAUCCUGGAGAGCAACAUCAAUAACAGACCUGCUUAAGUCGUGUGAGAAAGUAAAUUUUGUAAUCUGAAACAGAUGGGGAAGAGAAGUUAAUUCAGAACAGAACUAUCUCAAAUUCUGAAGAAGUUUAAACCCACUUUGUAAA